rnacentral:tRNA from 1 species
GUCCCUGUAGCUCAACUGGAUAGAGCAAGUCUCUCCUAAGGACGAGAUGGGGGUUCAAGUCCCUCCAGGGACA